rnacentral:lncRNA from 1 species
AGAUGUAGUUAGGUAUUUGCUUUGGAGAGUGUGGGUGUAUUGGGGGCCAAGGGAAGGUUGAGGGUAGUCUAUGUGUUGUAACAAUUUUCACAUAGUGUUUAUUCUCUGGUUGUCGGUUUUGACAACGGCCGUGGUUUUUUCUCCGGUUUUGGAGUUUCCACGUUAUAUUCUUGUGUUGUUGAUUGCGUUCAUUUAUUUUCUCUAUGCCGGU